rnacentral:rRNA from 1 species
GACAGGGCGAAAGCUGAUCUAUCAUACCGCGUGUGUGAAGAAGGCCUGAGGGUUGUAAAGCACUUUCAAUAGGAAGGAAUACCUAUCGGUUAAUACCCGGUAGACUGACAUUACCUAUACAAGAAGCACCGGCUAACUCCGUGCCAGCAGCCGCGGUAAUACGGAGGGUGCAAGCGUUAAUCGGAAUUACUGGGCGUAAAGCGUGCGUAGGCGGUUAUUUAAGUCAGAUGUGAAAGCCCUGGGCUUAACCUGGGAACUGCAUUUGAUACUGAAUGACUAGAGUUGAGUAGAGGAGAGUGGAAUUUCAGGUGUAGCGGUGAAAUGCGUAGAGAUCUGAAGGAACACCAGUGGCGAAGGCGGCUCUCUGGACUCAAACUGACGCUGAGGUACGAAAGCGUGGGUAGCAAACGGGAUUAGAUACCCUGGUAGUCCACGCCGUAAACGAUGUCAACUAACCGUUGGGUUCUUUAAGAACUUAGUGGUGGAGCUAACGUAUUAAGUUGACCGCCUGGGGAGUACGGCCGCAAGGCUAAAACUCAAAUGAAUUGACGGGGGCCCGCACAAGCGGUGGAGCAUGUGGUUUAAUUCGAUGCAACGCGAAGAACCUUACCUACCCUUG